GGUUAAGCGAAUAAGCGUACACGGUGGAUGCCUAGGCAAUCAGAGGCGAUGAAGGACGUGCUAAUCUGCGAAAAGCGUCGGUAAGGUGAUAUGAACCGCUAUACCCGACGAUAUCCGAAUGGGGAAACCCAGUAUCCAAUGGAUACUAUCAUUAACUGAAUCCAUAGGUUAAUGAGGCGAACCGGGAGAACUGAAACAUCUCAGUACCCCGAGGAAAAGAAAUCAACCGAGAUUCCCCUAGUAGCGGCGAGCGAACGGGGAGCAGCCCAGAGUCUUAAUCAAUAACAGUGUCAGGAGAACGGUCUGGAAAGUCCGGCAGUAAAGGGUGAUAGCCCCGUAUCUGAAGAUGCUGUUGUUGUGAACUCGACGAGUAGGGCGGGACACGUGUUAUCCUGUCUGAAUAUGGGGGGACCAUCCUCCAAGGCUAAAUACUCCUGAUUGACCGAUAGUGAACCAGUACCGUGAGGGAAAGGCGAAAAGAACCCCGGCGAGGGGAGUGAAAAAGAACCUGAAACCGUGUACGUACAAGCAGUAGGAGCCCCAUCACUCAAGUGCCUCGCACUGAGUGAUGCAAGAACAUCACCGAAAAUAGCGCCGAAUUUGCUAACAAGGUUGGUCGAUUUUUUCAAGCUGUCGCGCAGUGUACCUAGAAGUACACGAGCAACGGAAGUUAAAAAAUCGGGCAAGAUUGAACGCAAAGGCAAGCGGGACAUUUGAGGAUGGGGUGACUGCGUACCUUUUGUAUAAUGGGUCAGCGACUUAUAUUCUGUAGCGAGGUUAACCGUAUAGGGGAGCCGUAGGGAAACCGAGUCUUAACUGGGCGAAUGAGUUGCAGGGUAUAGACCCGAAACCCGGUGAUCUAUCCAUGGGCAGGUUGAAGGUUGGGUAACACUAACUGGAG
rnacentral:rRNA from 1 species